UAUGUAGCAAUACAGGGUGAUGGACUGCCUUUUGCAUAAUGAGCCUGCGAGUUGUGGUGUCUGGCAAGGUUAAGCAAACGCGAAGCCGUAGCGAAAGCGAGUCUGAAUAGGGCGCUUAGUCAGAUGCUGCAGACCCGAAACGAAGUGAUCUAUCCAUGAGCAAGUUGAAGCUAGUGUAAGAACUAGUGGAGGACUGAACCCAUAGGCGUUGAAAAGCCCCGGGAUGACUUGUGGAUAGGGGUGAAAGGCCAAUCAAACUUCGUGAUAGCUGGUUCUCUCCGAAAUAUAUUUAGGUAUAGCGUUGUGUCGUAAUAUAAGGGGGUAGAGCACUGAAUGGGCUAGGGCAUACACCAAUGUACCAAACCCUAUCAAACUCCGAAUACCUUAUAUGUAAUCACAGCAGUCAGGCGGCGAGUGAUAAAAUCCGUCGUCAAGAGGGAAACAACCCAGACUACCAGCUAAGGUCCCUAAAUCUUACUUAAGUGGAAAACGAUGUGAAGUUACUUAAACAACCAGGAGGUUGGCUUAGAAGCAGCCAUCCUUUAAAGAAAGCGUAAUAGCUCACUGGUCUAGUGAUUUUGCGCGGAAAAUAUAACGGGGCUAAAGUAAGUACCGAAGCUGUAGACUUAGUUUACUAAGUGGUAGGAGAGCGUUCUAUUUGCGUCGAAGGUAUACCGGUAAGGAGUGCUGGAGCGAAUAGAAGUGAGCAUGCAGGCAUGAGUAGCGAUAAUUAAUGUGAGAAUCAUUAACGCCGUAAACCCAAGGUUUCCUACGCGAUGCUCGUCAUCGUAGGGUUAGUCGGGUCCUAAGUCGAGUCCGAAAGGGGUAGACGAUGGCAAAUUGGUUAAUAUUCCAAUACCAACAUUAGUGUGCGAUGGAAGGACGCUUAGGGCUAAGGGGGCUAGCGGAUGGAAGUGCUAGUCUAAGGUCGUAGGAGGUUAUACAGGCAAAUCCGUAUAACAAUACUCCGAGAACUGAAAGGCUUUUUGAAGUCUUCGGAUGGAUAGAAGAACCCCUGAUGCCGUCGAGCCAAGAAAAGUUUCUAAGUUUAGCUAAUGUUGCCCGUACCGUAAACCGACACAGGUGGGUGGGAUGAGUAUUCUAAGGCGCGUGGAAGAACUCUCUUUAAGGAACUCUGCAAAAUAGCACCGUAUCUUCGGUAUAAGGUGUGGUUAGCUUUGUAUUAGGAUUUACUCCGAAAGCAAGGAAACUUACAACAAAGAGUCCCUCCCGACUGUUUACCAAAAACACAGCACUCUGCUAACUCGUAAGAGGAUGUAUAGGGUGUGACGCCUGCCCGGUGCUCGAAGGUUAAUUGAUGGGGUUAGCAUUAGCGAAGCUCUUGAUCGAAGCCCGAGUAAACGGCGGCCGUAACUAUAACGGUCCUAAGGUAGCGAAAUUCCUUGUCGGUUAAAUACCGACCUGCAUGAAUGGCGUAACGAGAUGGGAGCUGUCUCAAAGAGGGAUCCAGUGAAAUUGUAGUGGAGGUGAAAAUUCCUCCUACCCGCGGCAAGACGGAAAGACCCCGUGGACCUUUACUACAGCUUGACACUGCUACUUGGAUAAGAAUGUGCAGGAUAGGUGGGAGGCUUUGAGUAUAUGACGCCAGUUGUAUAUGAGCCAUUGUUGAGAUACCACUCUUUCUUAUUUGGGUAGCUAACCAGCUUGAGUUAUCCUCAAGUGGGACAAUGUCUGGUGGGUAGUUUGACUGGGGCGGUCGCCUCCCAAAUAAUAACGGAGGCUUACAAAGGUUGGCUCAGAACGGUUGGAAAUCGUUCGUAGAGUAUAAAGGUAUAAGCCAGCUUAACUGCAAGACAUACAAGUCAAGCAGAGACGAAAGUCGGUCUUAGUGAUCCGGUGGUUCUGUGUGGAAGGGCCAUCGCUCAAAGGAUAAAAGGUACCCCGGGGAUAACAGGCUGAUCUCCCCCAAGAGCUCACAUCGACGGGGAGGUUUGGCACCUCGAUGUCGGCUCAUCGCAUCCUGGGGCUGGAGCAGGUCCCAAGGGUAUGGCUGUUCGCCAUUUAAAGCGGUACGCGAGCUGGGUUCAGAACGUCGUGAGACAGUUCGGUCCCUAUCUGCCGUGGGCGUAAGAAGAUUGAAGAGAUUUGACCCUAGUACGAGAGGACCGGGUUGAACAAACCACUGGUGUAGCUGUUGUUCUGCCAAGAGCAUCGCAGCGUAGCUAAGUUUGGAAAGGAUAAACGCUGAAAGCAUCUAAGCGUGAAGCCAACUCUAAGAUGAAUCUUCUCUAAGCUCUCUAGAAGACUACUAGUUUGAUAGGCUGGGUGUGUAAUGGAUGAAAGUCCUUUAGCUGACCAGUACUAAUAGAGCGUUUGGCUUAUCUUUAAUAAAGCAU
rnacentral:rRNA from 1 species